GCCUAACACAAUGCAGUCGACGGUACAUGAACUAGCUUGCUAGUUUGAUGACGAGUGGCGGACGGGUGAGUAAUGCUUGGGAAUUUGCCUUUAGGUGGGGGACAACAGUUGGAAACGACUGCUAAUACCGCAUGAUAGCUACGGCUCAAAGGGGGCUUCGGCUCUCGCCUUUAGAGAAGCCCAAGUGGGAUUAGGUAGUUGGUG
rnacentral:rRNA from 1 species